rnacentral:rRNA from 1 species
CCCUAGUAACUGCGAGUGAAGCGGGAAAAGCUCAAAUUUAAAAUCUGGCGGUCUUUGGCCGUCCGAGUUGUAGUCUGGAGAAGUGCUUUCCGCGCUGGACCGUGUAUAAGUCUCUUGGAACAGAGCGUCAUAGAGGGUGAGAAUCCCGUCUUUGACACGGACUACCAGUGCUUUGUGAUGCGCUCUCAAAGAGUCGAGUUGUUUGGGAAUGCAGCUCAAAAUGGGUGGUGAAUUCCAUCUAAAGCUAAAUAUUGGCGAGAGACCGAUAGCGAACAAGUACCGUGAGGGAAAGAUGAAAAGCACUUUGGAAAGAGAGUUAAACAGUACGUGAAAUUGCUGAAAGGGAAACGCUUGAAGUCAGUCGCGUUGUCUGGGACUCAGCCUUGCUUUUGCUUGGUGCACUUUCCGGAUGACGGGCCAGCAUCGAUUUUGACCGUCGGAAAAGGGCUGGGGUAAUGUGGCACCUCCGGGUGUGUUAUAGACUUUAGUCGCAUACGGCGGUCGGGAUCGAGGAACGCAGCGCGCCGUAAGGCAGGGGUUCGCCCACUUUCGCGCUUAGGAUGCUGGCGUAAUGGCUUUAAACGACCCGUCUUGAAACACGGACCAAGGAGUCUAACAUACCUGCGAGUGUUUGGGUGGAAAACCCGAGCGCGUAAUGAAAGUGAAAGUUGAGACCUCUGUCGUGGAGGGCAUCGACGCCCGGACCUGACGUUCUCUGACGGAUCCGCGGUAGAGCAUGUAUGUUGGGACCCGAAAGAUGGUGAACUAUGCCUGAAUAGGGUGAAGCCAGAGGAAACUCUGGUGGAGGCUCGUAGCGAUUCUGACGUGCAAAUCGAUCGUCAAAUUUGGGUAUAGGGGCGAAAGACUAAUCG